rnacentral:rRNA from 1 species
GGUUAAGCGACUAAGCGUACACGGUGGAUGCCCUGGCAGUCAGAGGCGAUGAAGGGCGUGCUAAUCUGCGAUAAGCGCCGGUAAGGUGAUAUGAACCGUUAUAACCGGCGAUACCCGAAUGGGGAAACCCAGUGUGACUCGUCACACUAUCAUUAACUGAAUCCAUAGGUUAAUGAGGCGAACCGGGGGAACUGAAACAUCUAAGUACCCCGAGGAAAAGAAAUCAACCGAGAUUCCCCCAGUAGCGGCGAGCGAACGGGGAGGAGCCCAGAGCCUGAAUCAGCAUGUGUGUUAGUGGAAGCGUCUGGAAAGGCGCGCGAUACAGGGUGACAGCCCCGUACACAAAAGCGCAUGUGCUGUGAGCUCGAUGAGUAGGGCGGGACACGUGGUAUCCUGUCUGAAUAUGGGGGGGACCAUCCUCCAAGGCUAAAUACUCCUGACUGACCGAUAGUGAACCAGUACCGUGAGGGAAAGGCGAAAAGAACCCCGGCGAGGGGAGUGAAAAAGAACCUGAAACCGUGUACGUACAAGCAGUGGGAGCACCC